GUAAACGGCGGCCGUAACUAUAACGGUCCUAAGGUAGCGAAAUUCCUUGUCGGGUAAGUUCCGACCUGCACGAAUGGCGUAACGACUUCCGCACUGUCUCGACCAGGGACUCAGUGAAAUUGAAAUCUCGGUGAAGAUGCCGAGUACUCGCGAAAAGACGGAAAGACCCCGGCACCUUUACUACAGCUUGACAUUGGAUUUUGGGACAAUAUGCGUAGGAUAGGUGGGAGGCUGUGAAGUGUGUACCCCGGUAUGCACGGAGCCGACGUUGAAAUACCACCCUUGUUGUUUCAGAGUUCUAAUUCCGUACCGUGAACCGGUCGGAAGACAGUGUCUGGCGGGUAGUUUGACUGGGGCGGUCGCCUCCCAAAGAGUAACGGAGGCGCGCGAAGGUUCCCUCAGGCUGAUCGGAAACCAGCCGCGGAGUGCAAAGGCAUAAGGGAGCCUGACUGCGAGGGAGACAUUCCGAGCAGGUGUACGAAAGUAGGUCUUAGUGAUCCGGCGGUUCUGAAUGGAAGGGCCGUCGCUCAACGGAUAAAAGGUACGCCGGGGAUAACAGGCUUAUCACAUCCAAGAGUUCACAUCGACGAUGUGGUUUGGCACCUCGAUGUCGGCUCAUCACAUCCUGGGAGCAGGUCCCAAGGGUUCGGCUGUUCGCCGAUUAAAGUGGUACGUGAGCUGGGUUUAAAACGUCGUGAGACAGUUUGGUCCCUAUCUUUCGCGAGCGCAGGAUAUUUGAGAGGAGCUGUUCCUAGUACGAGAGGACCGGAACGGACGGACCGAUGGUGUUCCGGUUGUCGCGCCAGCGGCAUUGCCGGGUAGCUAAGUCCGGAACGGAUAACCGCUGAAAGCAUCUAAGCGGGAAGCCAGCCUCAAGAUGAGAUAUCCCGUACCGUAAGGUACCUGAAGACCUCUCGGAGAUUACGAGGUGGAUAGGCCGGGUGUGUAAGUGCGGUAACGUACUGAGCUUACCGGUACUAAUAGGUCGUGCGGCUUAGCCAC
rnacentral:ncRNA from 1 species